AAGAGUGCGUAAUAGCUCACUGGUCAAGUGAUUGUGCGCCGAUAAUGUAGCGGGGCUCAAGCACACCGCCGAAGCCGCGACAACCGCAAGGUUGGGUAGGGGAGCGUCCCUCAUUCAGCGAAGCUGCCGGGUAACCGGUGGUGGAGGAUGGGGAGUGAGAAUGCAGGCAUGAGUAGCGAUAAGGCAAGUGAGAACCUUGCCCGCCGAAAGACCAAGGGUUCCUGGGCCAGGCCAGUCCGCCCAGGGUGAGUCGGGACCUAAGGCGAGGCCGACAGGCGUAGUCGAUGGACAACGGGUUGAUAUUCCCGUACCCGUGUGUGCGCGCCCGUGAUGAAUCAGCGGUACUAACCACCCAAAACCGGAUCGAUCAUUCCUCUUCGGGGGCGUGGAGUUCCGGGGCUGCGUGGAACCUUCGUUGGUAGUAGUCAAGCGACGGGGUGACGCAGGAAGGCAGCCGUACCAGUCAGUGGUAAUACUGGGGCAAGCCCGUAGGGAGAGCGAUAGGCAAAUCCGUCGCUCAUUAAUCCUGAGAGGUGAUGCAUAGCCGAUUGAGGCGAAUUCGGUCAUCCUCUGCUGCCAAGAAAAGCCUCUAGCGAGCGCACACACGGCCCGUACCCCAAACCAACACAGGUGGUCAGGUAGAGAAUACCAAGGCGUACGAGAUAACUAUGGUUAAGGAACUCGGCAAAAUGCCCCCGUAACUUCGGGAGAAGGGGGACCGGAAUACCGUGAACACCCUUGCGGUGGGAGCGGGAUUCGGUCGCAGAAACCAGUGGGGAGCGACUGUUUACUAAAAACACAGGUCCGUGCGAAGUCGCAAGACGAUGUAUACGGACUGACGCCUGCCCGGUGCUGGAAGGUUAAGAGGACCCGUUAAUUCGUAAGGGUGAAGCGGAGAAUUUAAGCCCCAGUAAACGGCGGUGGUAACUAUAACCAUCCUAAGGUAGCGAAAUUCCUUGUCGGGUAAGUUCCGACCUGCACGAAUGGCGUAACGACUUCCCAACUGUCUCAACCAUAGACUCGGCGAAAUUGCACUACGAGUUAAGAUGCUCGUUACGCGCGGCAGGACGAAAAGACCCCGGGACCUUCACUACAACUUGGUAUUGGUGUUCGGUUCGGUUUGUGUAGGAUAGGUGGGAGACUGUGAAACUCCAACGCCAGUUGGGGCGGAGUCAUUGUUGAAAUACCACUCUGAUCGUAUUGGACACCUAACGUCGAACCCUGAACCGGGUUCACGGACAGUGCCUGGCGGGUAGUUUAACUGGGGCGGUUGCCUCCUAAAAUGUAACGGAGGCGCCCAAAGGUUCCCUCAACCUGGACGGCAAUCAGGUGACGAGUGUAAGUGCACAAGGGAGCUUGACUGCGAGACCUACAAGUCAAGCAGGGACGAAAGUCGGGACUAGUGAUCCGGCACCUCUGAGUGGAAGGGGUGUCGCUCAACGGAUAAAAGGUACCCCGGGGAUAACAGGCUGAUCUUCCCCAAGAGUCCAUAUCGACGGGAUGGUUUGGCACCUCGAUGUCGGCUCGUCGCAUCCUGGGGCUGGAGCAGGUCCCAAGGGUUGGGCUGUUCGCCCAUUAAAGCGGCACGCGAGCUGGGUUUAGAACGUCGUGAGACAGUUCGGUCUCUAUCCGCCGCGCGCGUCAGAAACUUGAGGAAACCUGUCCCUAGUACGAGAGGACCGGGACGGACGAACCUCUGGUACACCAGUUGUCCCACCAGGGGCACCGCUGGAUAGCCACGUUCGGAAAGGAUAACCGCUGAAAGCAUCUAAGCGGGAAACCUUCUCCAAGAUCAGGUUUCUCACCCACUUGGUGGGAUAAGGCCCCCGCAGACCACGGGUUCGAUAGGUCAGACCUGGAAGCACAGUAAUGUGUGAAGGGAACUGGCACUAACCGGCCGAAAACUUACCAAC
rfam:Mycobacterium ulcerans str. Harvey Harvey.contig.164, whole genome shotgun sequence.